GACGAACGCUGGCGGCGUGCUUAACACAUGCAAGUCGUACGGUAAGGCCCUUUCGGGGGUACACGGGUGGCGAACGGGUGAGUAACACGUGAGUAACCUGCCCACAACUUUGGGAUAACGCUAGGAAACUGGUGCUAAUACUGGAUAUGUGCUCCUGCUGCAUGGUGGGGGUUGGAAAGCUCCGGCGGUUGUGGAUGGACUCGCGGCCUAUCAGCUUGUUGGUGGGGUAGUGGCCUACCAAGGCGGCGACGGGUAGCCGGCCUGAGAGGGUGACCGGCCACAUUGGGACUGAGAUACGGCCCAGACUCCUACGGGAGGCAGCAGUGGGGAAUAUUGCACAAUGGGCGCAAGCCUGAUGCAGCAACGCCGCGGGCGGGAUGACGGCCUUCGGGUUGUAAACCGCUUUCAGCAGGGACGAAGCUUUUUGUGACGGUACCUGCAGAAGAAGCACCGGCUAACUACGUG
rnacentral:rRNA from 1 species